rnacentral:rRNA from 1 species
UACGAAGGGGGCUAGCGUUGUUCGGAAUUACUGGGCGUAAAGCGCACGUAGGCGGAUCGAUCAGUCAGGGGUGAAAUCCCAGGGCUCAACCCUGGAACUGCCUUUGAUACUGUCGAUCUGGAGUAUGGAAGAGGUGAGUGGAAUUCCGAGUGUAGAGGUGAAAUUCGUAGAUAUCGAGAGGAACACCGGUGGCGAAGGCGGCGACCUGGACGAUGACUGACGCUGAGACGCGAAAGCGUGGGGAGCAAACAGG